AUUUUAUUGAACAUAAAUGAAUAUAGACAAUAACAAAAGAGUAAAUAAAGUUAAAUGCAUAUGCUUGCAAUAUAAGUAAAAUAGAAUAACCUACCCUCCUAACCAGAAAGAUUGAUCUCUCAAUCUUGAGUUAAUGCAACUGCAAAAACAUGUUCUCCUAAAACUGCUCUCUAUAAUAUUAAUCAGUACAUAUAUUACACAUCCUGAAAUCAGUUCAUGUUCGAAAAAUAAACCUAAUCAACCUUAACUUGACAAAGUUUCAAGGCCAAGAUCAAAAGAUGACAAUUUAACAAAUUCUCCCCCCACCCCCCUUUUUUUUUUACAUUCUUUAUUUUUGAUUUAUUAAUGCGUGACAUGUUCAGGUAUUACAGUUCAAUUUGUUUCAACAAUGGUAAUAUAGUGACAGUAUACAUAACAUCGUAUGAGUAGUGACAACAAUUAACUAAAAGGUUAUAUUUGUCUUCAUAGCGUAAACAUGGCUUUAAAUGUUUGUUAAUAUGAGAUUAUGGUGUUAGACUCGUCUUGUUAAUUUAUAAUACAAUAAGAUACAGGUCAUUGAACAAGUAAUGGUGCUAAUCAACAGGAAAGUUGUUUUUUUUGCCUGGCGUAAACAUAACGUUAAACGAUUGUUAAUAUGCGGUUGGGGUAAUACACUUGCCCUAGUGGUGGUGUCUGAUCAGUAUCCGCUAUUAGUUUAUCAUGACUGAGGGUUUAGCUCGGUUACGAUAGAGCCUUUACCUUCGGAAUGAUCAGUUUCCUUUCCUUUUUCUUUGGGUUGGUAGUGAAUCUUUGUAUACAGAAGAGUGGGGGUAAAGGAGGGUGUGUGUAGGGGUUGUGGUAUAUCAAGUAGGUUGGGUAGGAUUAUUGGGGGUUUGGGGUAGCAACUUUGUAGGGUCAAAAAACUCCCUUUUUACCCGAGUUUGCCACAAGCUCCUGGAGGAGCCUGCUUCCCAGCCUCCUGCCGAGACUAUGAACUCUGUGAAACAUAAUAUAAAAGUCUCUGUUCGUGUAUUUGAGCGAUAUUGUUCGAGAACUGAACAGCAGCACAUACUGGAGACUUUUACAUUAUAUAUCACAGGGAUCAUAAUCUGUGGGCAGUAGGCUGGCAAGCAGGCUCCUUUCAGGAACUCGUGGCAAACUCAGGUAAAAAGGGGAGUGUGACGGACCGCCUGGCACUCCAACAGAGUGCCUCCACCAAUCGAUGCUCCUAGUGCUCACCGAGGAAUUCCAGCACUCCACCAGACACCAUAAGCACUGCAGACCCCUCUACCAGCGAUGCAGAUGCGCCUGGGUCUCGCCAUCCUUCACCCACCCUGGACCCAAGACCAGGAUCCAGCUUCCAAGGGGGAAGAAAUCUCCUACUCCCAGAGAGUGUAGCAUUAACAGCUCUUAUAAGAGCUAGUGAUUAUAACUCCUGGGUAGUAUAGUGAUAUAGCAAAUUUCCAGGAUAGAUACAGCCGUCUCCCCCACACAUGAGAUGAGACUGUUGAGGGUAAGCAGGAACAUAAUUUUAAUGCACGCACACUGGCCUUUUAUGCAAGUUUCCCAACAAGGGUGACAUCCAGAUGGACCUUGCUGGGCACAGAGACACAAAGUGAAUAAACCAAUAAAAACAGUCAUACAGUGAGACACUCCCAUCAAAACAAUAGAAUCCCUCCUCUGUGCUUGGGAGAUAAUUGAAUCAGGGACUGUACUAAGCUGAUACAAUUAUCUCCAAUCACAGAAAAGCAUACAAUUUUAUGAAACCCAAAAAGUACCUUAAAAACACAUAAAACCCCAUAAAAGUUACUUUCCCUGAUAUCACCGAGAUCGGUUCAGGAAUUUCCCGGAAGUCAUAGUUUUGACCGACCUUGCACAUGGUCCUAUGCCCGAAACAGUUACAGGGAAAUCAGUGCUAACAGUCGAUCAAGUUCGGUAGUGUUUUACAGGUUUCCUUGUAGUGCCCAUAGUUUGUGGGCAGGAGGCUGGCAAGCAGGUCCCUCCUGGUACAAAUGGCGAGGUAACUUUCGCCACAGGGAGUUUGUCACAGACAUGACAUAGCCUUGAUUUGUAAUUAUUUGACUAAAACAAUUAGCAUUUACUUUCUAAACAUUGUAUUCACGAAGCUGGGCAUAAUGCCAGAAGGACACAGCUUAAAACAAAUUUUAAGAAAUCAAAUGCCCACAGCACACUAUUAAAUGAAAUAAGCGUUCUGUGCACACAUGUAGAGGUUAAGCAGACUUUAAUAGGAUUGAGGUAAUUGAUAUGUAUACGUGCAUGUUAAAUCUAAUAUUAUAAUUAUUGGCAUUUACAUACAGCUAAUGAUUACAAAUUGUUACAGAACAAUAGGUUGAUAAUGACCCUGCUAGAAAGUGCUUUCAAUCUACAUCAGGUAGGGUAUAAAAACACAGUAAGGGCAGACUAGCGAAUAGCAACCAAGCAGCAGGCUGGGAAGUAGCACAACUGAAAGGUGAAAGUGGACUGUGGCCCUCUAGAAAGAGAGCAAAAAAUAAGUUUGAGUGAGUUUUGAGAGACUUAAUCUUUAUCUGCUAGUAUAUGGCCUUGUCUGCAAGACCAGAUGAUGCCGAGUCCUGAGUGAAACUUAUGAAUGCUGUUUUAGGCAUAGGCUAUAAAAGAGAGUGUGGGGUCAGAUAAAACAACAAUUAUAGGUAGAGAGGUAUGCAGCUAAAGCGAUAAAAAAACGAAAAAAAGCAAUGGGAGAGAUACAAUAGAUGAAAGUUAUAAAAGGGAACAUCAAUUUACCCCUUCAGGACCGGUCUGUUUUUACGAUGUUGUACGUUAAGGACCUGGGCUCUUUUAACACUUUUGUGGUGUUUGCAUACUGUUCCCAUACAAGUUGUAUAUUGUUUUUUUCAGGACAAAAAGGGCUUGCUUUACAUACCAUUAUCUGUAAUAUGUCAAAAUUUACUUAAAAAAAAAAUAAAAAUAAAAUAUGGUGAAUUUUUUCUUUUUUUUUUUUAAAAACAUAUUUUUGGACUGCCUACUAAAGCUAAUGAAAAAAAUGAUAGAUUAAAAAAAUAUGUUCUGAGUCUUAAAAAAAAAAAAACAGUGUUUACGUGCUUUUUUUGCAAGUUAUAGGUCUUUAAGUACAAAUAGGAAAUUGCUGUUUCAAAAUAUAUAUUUUUAAAAUGUAUCAAUAGUGACUUUGUAACACUAUUAUUGGUCAUAAAACUCUGAAUCACACCCCACAUGUACAUUUUUUUUUAAAGUAGACAACCCAGGGUAUUCCAUAUGGAGUAUGUCCAGCAUUUUUUUAGUAGCCACUUAGUCACAAACACUGGCCAGCGUUAGCGUUCAUAUUUGUUUGUAUGUGAAAAAGGAAAAAAAACUAAAUUGAAUGCUAAUUUUGGCCAGUGUUUGUGACUAAGUGGCUACUAAAAAAGACUGGACAUACCCCAUUUUCAAUACCUUUGGUUGUCAUCUUUUGCAAAUGGUAUGCCAUCAUGGGGCUAAUUCUCAUUCCUGGGCUACUAUAUGCUCUCAAAGGCAAUGUAACCAACCUGGCAUUUUUCAAUGUAGAAAUAUUUGACCCUUAUACUUGACCCUGUAACUCUCAAAAAUGCUAUAAAGCCUGUACAUGGUACUGUUAUACUGUUAUAUAUAUAAGUCUCCCAGGUAAAACAGUACCCACCAUGUACAUGUUUUAGGGUGUCAUUGAAAGUUACAGGGUAAAAUACAGUGCUAGCAAAUUAAAUUCUCUGGACUUUCGGCCUGGGUUGGUAGGCAGGUCCCUCAAAUUGCAAUCAAUAAAAUUACUUAAUUAUGUAAAAAUAUAACAUAAAUAUGCAUGUAGAAUUUAACCCCUUAAGGACACAUGACAUGUGUGACAUGUCAUGAUUCCCUUUUAUUCCAGAAAAUUGGUCCUUAAGGGGUUAAAUAUAUAUGCAUAUUUAUAGAUUU